rnacentral:rRNA from 1 species
UACGAAGGGGGCUAGCGUUGCUCGGAAUCACUGGGCGUAAAGCGCACGUAGGCGGAUUGCUAAGUCAGGGGUGAAAUCCUGGAGCUCAACUCCAGAACUGCCUUUGAUACUGGUGAGCUUGAGUCCGGAAGAGGUGAGUGGAACUGCGAGUGUAGAGGUGAAAUUCGUAGAUAUUCGGAAGAACACCAGUGGCGAAGGCGGCUCACUGGUCCGGUACUGACGCUGAGGUGCGAAAGCGUGGGGAGCAAACAGG